GGCGGCGCGGUGCGGCGCGCAUCUCGGAGCAGACCCGGCGGCAGCCGCUUCUGAGCGCGCCGGCCAGCACCUGCUGCCCCUCACUGCCCCGGCGCCGCUGCCAUGCGGCUGGCCCUGCUCUGGGCCCUGGGGCUCCUAGGUGCGGGCAGCCCUCUGCCCUCCCGACCGCUCCCAAAUACAGACCCUACAGGUGGCAGCAAGGAGCAGAAGGCCAAACCAGAGACGGCCUUGCGCAGACCCUUGGAGCCUGAAGUCCUCCAAGAGCACCACCUGGUUACCCUACCAGAGAUGCUUCAGACAAGUUUACCUGAGGCCCUGAGGGUCAAAUUGGAGCUGGAUGGUGAGAGUCACAUCCUGGAGCUGCUACAAGACAGGGAUCUGGUCCCAGGCCACACAACUGCCGUGUGGUACCAGCCUGAUGGUACUCGCGUGGUGAGCAAGGGACACACUCUGGAGAACUGCUGCUACCAGGGGAGAGUACGUGGCCACGAGGGCUCCUGGGUCUCCGUCUGUACCUGUUCAGGGCUCAGGGGCUUGAUCGCCCUGUCUCCAGAGCGAAGCUAUGCCCUGGAGCUGGGGCCUGGGGACCCUCAGGGGCCUCCUACUGUCUUCAAGAUCCAAGAUUUCCUCCUGCCAAAUCACACCUGCUCCCUGAGCUGGCAUGCGCCUAUGCCCAUUCCGGCUCCACCAGCACUCCCCCGGGGACAGGGACACAUUCGUAGGCAGAAACGAGAUGUGCUCACAGAAACCAAGAUCAUCGAGUUGGUGAUCGUAGCUGACCAUUCAGAGGUCAGGAGGUUCCCUGACUUCCAGCACCUGCUGAACCGCACCCUGGAGGUAGCCUACCUGCUAGACACAUUCUUCCAGCCCUUGAAUGUGCGGGUGGCGCUAGUGGGCCUGGAGGCCUGGACCCAGCAUGACCUGGUGGAGAUAAGCUCAAACCCAGCUGUCACGCUAAAAAACUUCCUCCACUGGCGCCGCGCAGACUUGCUGCCUCGACUGCCCCAUGACAGUGCCCAGCUGGUGACCGAUAUUUCUUUCUCUGGGCCCAUGGUGGGUAUGGCCAUUCAGAACUCCAUCUGUUCCCCGGACUUCUCAGGAGGUGUAAACAUGGACCACUCUACCAGCGUCCUCGGAGUUGCUUCCUCAAUAGCCCACGAGUUGGGCCACAGCCUGGGCCUGGGCCAUAGUCCGCCUGGGAGCAGUUGCCCCUGCCCAGGCCCGGCCCCUGCCAAGAGCUGCAUCAUGGAGUCCUCCACAGACUUCCUGCCAGGCCUGAACUUCAGCAACUGCAGCCGACAGGCCUUGGAGAAAGCCCUCCUUGCGGGAAUGGGCAGCUGCCUCUUUGAAAGGCUGUCCGGCCCGCUGUCUUUGGACACUUCCUGUGGAAACAUGUUUGUAGACCCCGGCGAGCAAUGUGACUGUGGCUUCUCAGAUGACUGCACCGAUCCCUGCUGCGAUCAUGAUACCUGCCAGCUGAGGCCAGGGGCACAAUGUGCAUCUGAUGGACCUUGUUGUGAAAACUGCCAGCUGCGCCCGGCUAGUUGGCAGUGCCGUCCUACCACAGGUGACUGUGACCUGCCUGAAUUCUGCCGAGGAAACAGUUCCCAGUGCCCCCCUGAUGUCAGCCUGGGGGACGGUGAGCCCUGUGCUGGUGGGCAGGCAGUGUGCAUGCAUGGCCGCUGUGCCUCCUAUGCCCAGCAGUGCCAGCUGCUGUGGGGACCUGGGGCCCAGCCCGCCGCACCACUUUGCCUCCACACAGCCAACACGCGGGGCAAUGCCUACGGAAGCUGUGGGCGCAGCCCCGAUGGAAGCUACAUGCCCUGUCCUCCUGGAGAUGCUAUUUGUGGACAGCUCCAGUGCCAGGGAGAAAGGACCCAGCCUCUUCUGGGCUCAGUCCAAGAUCUGCUCUGGGAGAUCCUGGAAGCCAAUGGGACACAGAUCAAUUGCAGCUGGGCGCACCUGGACCUGGGCAGUGAUGUGGCCCAGCCCCUCCUGACUCUGCCUGGCACCACCUGCGGCCCUGGCCUGGUGUGCAUCAGCCAGCAGUGCCAGCCUGUGGAACUCCUGGGAGCUCAGGAAUGUCGACGCAAGUGCCAUGGGCAUGGGGUCUGUGACAGCAACCAACAAUGCCACUGCGAGGAGGGCUGGGCGCCCCCUGAUUGCAUCACCCAGCUCCGAGCAGCCAGCUCCCUGACCACAGGCCUGCUCCUCAGCCUCCUACUGUUGCUGGUCCUAGUGCUACUUGGUGCCAGCUACUGGUACCGUGCCCACCUGCACCAGCGAUUCUGCCAGCUCAAAGGGUCCAGCUGCCAAUACAGGGCAGCCCAGUCUGGUCCCUCAGAACAGCCAGGACCCCCUCAGAGGACCCAGCUGAUGCUAAACACUAAGAGUCAUCAGCAGAGGUACAGACUGCAGCCUGGAGCAGGGAGGGGCUGUCACCUAGAGGAGGCUCUGCUGAGCUCUUAGCUGCCAAGCUGGUGACUCGGAGAGGUGGGUCUAUCCAUGCCCCUUGCCAUGACUGAUGCAGGGGACAAGGGGGUCAAAAGGUCUUCACUGUGCCAGGACCUGACAAGGCCAGGUCACCAUGUGUAGAAGGGCGGGUGAGUCCCCUGGCCUGAGCACUCGCUUUGAUGACAGGAGUGUGUGUUGGGGUGGCCUGCACGCCUGCCUCACCACUUGUCACCCCCUGCAUGCAGCUAGUUAAUGCAUGCCCUGCCCUCACUGCCCCUUGGGCCUUGGCCACCCCUGCCUGGCACCACUAACCCCUCUGUGCCCACGUCUGUGUCUCUGCUCCCCCUGCCCCUCUGUGCUGUCUGCUCCUCCUGCCCUCUCAGCAGGCUCUCAGCUUCCCGGCUCCCCCCUCCAGGCCGCUGCCACCUGACCCUGUGCCCAAGAGACUCCAGGCUGAGCUGGCUGAUCGACCCAAUCCCCCC